GUGCCUUGUUCUCCCGUUCAAGAGCGUCCAUACAAACAGAACCCAUUCUUCUCCCAAACAGGGACCACCCAGAUGCCCCAUUAGAAUGUUCCCCCCAAUUAAUCAGAAUGUUCACACCUGUAACAUAGGUGCGAAACUGCAAGGGAAGUAAUUAAUGAGUGCUCCCCUGGGUGGCUGCCAUUUCGUAUAGAAGAACGCCAACCAGGGGGAACAUUCCUAUCCCCAAAAGAAGACGCUUCCCUUGCCGGGGGUUUGCACAGGAACCUCAUGAACGGAAACCGGUUGGUUAAAUGUACUGUGCGGGGGUUCCUAAGAUUGGUGGGUACACUUCUGGGGCACUGGCUAUCUUGGCGGGCUUUCUGUGCCUGGGAGGCAAAGACACUAGGUCCCUUUUUCCCACGCCUGGGCUCCCAUGCACAGAGGAUCCUGGGAUGGAAACCUAUGUUUGCUUAUGGGGAAGACCCCUUGCAAGGGGUUAUGCAUAAAAACGGUG